AUACCAAAAAUAACUUUAUUAAGUUUCAUAUACCCACAGUAUGUUCAAAACUGUUCAUGUCCCAUAGGGACAGACCCAAGACCCAUCCUUUCUCCCAAUUUAGAUGUUUGUGAGCGCUCUUAGGAGUAUUCACAUAAGAAUAUAAAAUUUCAGCUCGUAUCUUAUAAGCUGUGGUUGCACAUAGCAAAGAAACAGGAAAAUAGAUGUUUUUAAUGAGGGGGUUCCACCUUUGUGACUCCUUAAACGUGUGACCGUGUAUAGUGAACAGACACACAACAGAUUAAUAUUUGCAGGUGGUGAAGGAAUAUUCAGAAGCAUGCAAAAACUCAAGAAAGUGUACCUUGCUGGAUGUGUGGAGUGUUCACCGGCCAGAGGAGAAGGCCAAAUUUGAAGAACAUGUAGGGCUGCACUAUCGAAAGCUCUUGUGGCAUGGUGUGAACGUGGCUCGAGUUGCCGAAAUCUUGAAAUCUGGGUUGAGGAUCACCCCAUUCUCUGGUGGUAGUCUUGGGAAAGGGCUAUAUUUCACCCCUGAACAUGCCAAGAGUUCUUGGAAUGUUGGUGUCCAGUGGGGGACUUUUGAGGGAGAACGGAAUGUGGGGUUCAUGUUCCUGGUGGAAACGGCCUUAGGGAGGAUGAAAUACAUCAAAAUGGGCAACAGCUCUCUCACUCAGGCCCCAGAAGGCUUUAACAGCAUUGCAGCUAAAGGCAGAUUAGAGCCAGACCCUUCCAAAGACAAGAUACAGCACUUUGAUGACAUAAGAGUGAUUGUACCCACUGGACCACCAGAACCUCAGAGGGAGUUUCAGGCUAGUGGAUUCUUGUCCAGUGAGUAUGUGAUAUACAAAGAAGGACAAGUGCGGUUACGGUACCUUGUCAAGUUUUCCUUUGCUUAGAUGUACCUGUUAUUUAUGCAUUCCAUAAUGUAUCCUCAAUUUAUAUCUUAUGCACAAACAAGUUCAUGAACAUUAAUAUCCAGAGGAAACCAAAGUCAAGCAUUUUCUUAUUUUCAUAUUUGUAAUAAUUCAUCAUUUCUACCUCUACAGUAGUUAUUUUUACUAUUACCCCAGUAAUCUCAUUUAUACAGAAAUAAUUUUGUAUACUUAAAGAGCCCAGGUUAAUGGUUUGAGACAACCCAAGUAUGCAGUAUUAGACCAUGUUCUGUAUUUGGUGAGUAAAUUCCCACUGCUAUUUUUCAUUCAGAUCUCAUUCACGAAGGUUAUGGUUGCAUAUACCUUUGCAAUAUACAGUAUACAUAUAUGUAUAUAUAUUCCAAGCACAAGUAAAUUUAUAGAAAGUAUAAACCCUCUAAGACAACUUUCAUUAAAGUUAUAUGGGCAAAAAUUUAAAAAAUGUAUUUUGAUGUUGAAAGUACAGGCAUUCCCCGAUUUAUGUAAAUCACAUCUUCGUAUAUUGGGGACUGCGUGUACUCUACUAUAUCUGUAGAGUCAAUAGUACAGCUGUAGUGUCAUAAUAAAAAGCCUUGUUU